UACAGAGGGUGCAAGCGUUAAUCGGAAUUACUGGGCGUAAAGCGCACGUAGGCGGUUUUCUAAGUCAGAUGUGAAAGCCCCGGACUCAACCUGGGAAUUGCAUUUGAAACUGGAAAACUAGAGUGUGUGAGAGGGGGGUAGAAUUCCAAGUGUAGCGGUGAAAUGCGUAGAGAUUUGAAGGAAUACCAGUGGCGAAGGCGGCCCCCUCGGCGACAACACUGACGCUCAGGUGCGAAAGACGU
rnacentral:rRNA from 1 species